rnacentral:rRNA from 1 species
GUGGGGAAUAUUGGACAAUGGGCGCAAGCCUGAUCCAGCAAUGCCGCGUGGGUGAAGAAGGCCUUCGGGUUGUAAAGCCCUUUUGUUGGGAAAGAAAUCCUGUCGGUUAAUACCUGGCGGGGAUGACGGUACCCAAAGAAUAAGCACCGGCUAACUUCGUGCCAGCAGCCGCGGUAAUACGAAGGGUGCAAGCGUUACUCGGAAUUACUGGGCGUAAAGCGUGCGUAGGUGGUGGUUUAAGUCCGUUGUGAAAGCCCUGGGCUCAACCUGUGAAUUGCAGUGGAUACUGGAUCACUAGAGUGUGGUAGAGGGAUGCGGAAUUUCUGGUGUAGCAGUGAAAUGCGUAGAGAUCAGAAGGAACAUCCGUGGCGAAGGCGGCAUCCUGGGCCAACACUGACACUGAGGCACGAAAGCGUGGGGAGCAAACAGGAUUAGAAACCCCGGUAGUCC